UACGUAGGGUGCGAGCGUUGCCCGGAUUUAUUGGGCGUAAAGGGCGCGUAGGCGGCCACGCACGUCCGUUGUGAAAUCGCUCGGCUCAACUGGGCGGGGUCAGCGGAUACGGUGUGGCUAGAGCAAGCUAGGGGGCAAUGGAAUUCCCGGUGUAGUGGUGGAAUGCGUAGAUAUCGGGAGGAACACCAGUGGCGAAGGCGGUUGCCUGGAGCUUUGCUGACGCUGAUGCGCGAAAGCGUGGGGAGCGAGCCGG
rnacentral:rRNA from 1 species